GUGUGACUACAAAUAGUGCUGCAACCAACAUCUUUGGACAUAUUCAUUUCCCGCACGUGUAUCUUGGAAAGCAAUAAAUUUCCAGAAGUGGAGUUUUGGAUGGGUCAAAGGGUGUGUGCAUUUUAUAUUCUAGCAGCUGCUACUUUUUAGAAAAUGUGUUCCAUGUUCAAAGAAAAGUAAGCUAGGAAAUAAGAAAAUGGGAGUGUGGCAGGGCUAGUGAAGGGAAGGACUGGUUGGUUCUAUCUCCUUCCCCAGAGACUCUUGGAUAUUAUAAACUGCAACAUGAUGUCAGUGGUCCAAGUGAAACUGGGCUGGGAGGGAUGGUGUUUAAGGACAGCAGAGCUCUGGCCACUCUGCGGGGUCCGCAGCCAGCAUCCCCCAAUGCUGGGCCUGGCAUGGAGGAGAAUGUCCUAGGGGAGUAGAGAGAUGGGAGCGACCUUGAGGAGGAGGGGCAGGUGAAGAGAUUGGAAAGGGAAAGAUGCGCUGCUCCCGGCUCUUCUACUCGCUACUAGAACUGUCCUGCCCCAAAUGGUCAUCAGGAAUAUACUGUGAAGGCCCACCUGUGCGAACGGAGCCAUGGGGCCGGGGAGCAGAGUCGAGCCAGAUACCUUCAAAGAACAGAAAGGAGGCCCAGCAUCUCUGGAACAGGUUUUGUUUUUAAGUAAUCUCUACACCCAACGUGGGGCUCGAACCUACAACCCUGAGAGCAAGAGUCACCGGCUCCACCAACUGAAUCAGCCAGGCUCCGAG
rnacentral:lncRNA from 1 species